AGUUGGAGAUUGGGGAGGAAACAGGUUUUUCCAUCCUUCAGCAAUCUAGCUUCAAUGAGCAUGUGCUCCCUGGAAGGCUGUACAUACUGUAUUAUUGUGAAGUUGGUUAAAAGGUCUUACCCAGUAAGACACUACGCCAAAGUUGAAAGAAAUUCCAGAAAUGAUGAGGAAGAAGGUGAUUGAAGUACAUCAGUCUGGGAAGGGUUACAAAGCUAUUUCAAAGUCUCCGAGACUCCAAAGAACCACAGAAGCCGUUAUCUCCAAAUGGAAAAACUCUGCACAGUAGUGAGCUUCCCAGAAGUGGCCGACCUUCCAAAAUUCCUCCAAGAGCACAGCGACGACUCAUCCAGGACGUCACAACAGAGCCAAGGACAACAUCACAGGACCUACAGGCCUCUCUUGCAUCGAUAAAGGUCAGUGUUCAUGACUCCACUAUCAGAAAGACACUGGGGGAAAACGGCUCCAUGGAAGAGUGGUGAGGUGAAAACCACUGCUGACCCAGAAGAACAUUAAGACUCGUCUGAAUUUUGCCGAAACACACCUUGAUGAUCCUCAAACCUUCUGGGAGAACGUUCUGUGUACUGAUGAGCUGAAAGUGGAACCGUUUGGAAGACUGGGGUCCCGUUACAUCUGCCAUAAACACCAAACUCCUCAAAAAGAACAUCAGGUCAAGCAUGGUGGUGGAGUGUGAUGGUGUGGGGAUGCUUUGCUGCUUCAGGGCCUGGGCAACUUGCAAUCAUUGAUGGAAACAUGAAUUCUGCUCUCUAGCAGAAAAUCCUAAAGAAGAAUGUCUGGUCUUCAGUCUGUAAACUGGAUUAUGCAGCAAGACAAUGAUCCAAGGCAUAAGAGUAAGUCCUAGUCCUAGAAGUAAAUAAAAGACAGAUCUCCAGUUAUCUGAAGCGUUUGGUUGCAGUUAUUGCUGCUUAAAGUGGCACAAGCAGAUUUUAAAUUUAAGGUCGCAAUUAGUUUUUCACAGGGGUCAUGGGUGUUGGAUAACUUCUUUUUGCUAAAAUAAAAAGAAAUGAAUGAAUAAAAAUUGUACUGUGUGUUUACUCGGGUUGCCUUUGUUUUAUGCUGUAUUUCGUUUAUAGAUCUAAAACGUUUGAGUACGAGAUAUACACAAAAACAGAAUAAAUCAGGCAAAUACUUUUUCACAGCACCGUAGUCUACUUACUGUAUAGUCAUUGUUGAAAAUGUCAAACAGCUUAGACCCUAAUUCUUCUCUCCGGUCUAAUGAACAGUGACUAUGAGCUAGAAGUUGACUCUUUUUACUUUAAUGAGCUAGAAUUUGACUUUACAUCUGCUAAUAACUAGGGGUAACUUUUAUGCCGUAUCUUAGUGAUUUACAAGAAUUGGGACAAUGGUGCUAAAUGAAUGGCUACGACGUUAUGACCAACUUAGCAUACAUCGAGCUCCUAAUGAUUAACACGGCACUCUGAAGCUGCAUAAUCUGAAAAACAAGCAAUAUGAGAUGACGGAUCAAAAUUUCAACUGAUGUUGUUUUUCGUUGGCCAACCUGUUCGAUGUAUAGUUGUUCGCCGGUAGUUUCUUUAUUUUUCAGGACAUUCCAAAUUGUUUAACUGGCUAUCCCCGAUGCUUGUGCAACGGCUCUGAAUGAUUUCUCCGCUUCAAAACGGCUUGCUUUUCUCCCAUAGAUACUGUAGCGAUCUUGUCUUCGUGUCGGUUCAUAGAGUCUCAGAAGGGACUCUAUGUCAGUGUAAUACAAGUUUGCCCGGCUAGUCCAGUAACCCUAACAGAAUUCUCAUUAACACUGCACCUCUAGUACAAUGUUGCCAGAUAAUGAAAGGCACUGCGGCAUAUUUGCUAGGCCCUGGGCGACAGAGAGGAACGGGUGUCUGAGCCAGUGCUUCAAUAGCUCACUUCUGUUUAAACUCAGGCGUUUGGAGUCGAGUGUAAGCAGCACCAUUAUUAAUGAUGUCAGUUUUACUCCGGGUGCAGUGGUGUGCAAUAAAUGAUAUCCAUCCCCCCGUUCUAAUUUAUCCUUCCUGGGCUCUGAGCAGGACCACUAUUUAACAUAACACGGAUGGAUCCCCAUUGGCUUACUUAGGAGCCUCUUAUAAAGGUCAUUUUACCUGCUGUGUUUGUGUAUUAAAUCUGAUUUGCCAUUUUCCACCAGCAGCCAUGGCAUCAUGGCUUUCAGAAAAGUCUAAGUGAAAAUCGAUAGCUGGGGCCUAAACAAGGUUUAAAUCGAGACAUAAUGUCCAUAACUGUUUGCUGAAUGGAUCCGAAUUAUCCGGUGGAGAUUGGUGCUGGGUGAAAUAUGCCAGGCAGCCAUGUGAAACAGACCUCAGCCCUAAGAGUAAUUGGAGUUCAGUGGCAUUGGAGGAUGUUUACGAACCAUGUCAAUUACAAACAGGAAAGAUCUCGGACAUACAUUACGUGAAGGUGUGGUGCCACUUAGCCUGAAGUGACUGGAUACUCAAACUUAGUGUUUUAUUUUAUGCUCAUAUGAAUACAGAGAUACAUCGUCACCAAGGUGAUGGUAAUGUUGCUGCCUCAAAGCUCACGAGUCUGGGGUUCAAUCCUGACUUCAAUUCUAAGUAGAUUCCACCCACCUCCCAAAAAGCGUGACAGUAAAUGUAUUGCCUGUUCUAAAUUGCCCCUGGUGUCCCACCUAGGUAGUGUUUCUGCUAUACGUUUGGUGUUCCUGAGAUAGCCUCCGGGUCCACCACAACCCUGACCAAGAUAAAGUGGCUGCUGAAGAACCACUUUUUCAUUUUGUCGCAUGCCAAUGAAUGGAAAUAUCGAGUCUCACUUGUAUUACAGAUCAUUUACCUAAACUCCUUACCUGAACUUUGUGUAGAGUUUCACACGUUCUUCUUGUGUCUGUCUGGGUUUCCUCUGGGAUCUCCAGUUUCAUCCCACCUCCCAAAAACAUACUGGUAGGUGAAUUGCCUACUCUAAUGUGC
ensembl:lncRNA